UCCGGUUUGUCACCGGCAGUCUCUCAUGAGUCCCCGGCAUUAUCCGCUGGCAACAUGGGACGGGGGUUGCGCUCGUUGCGGGACUUAACCCAACAUCUCACGACACGAGCUGACGACAGCCAUGCACCACCUGUGCACUGGCCCCGAAGGGCUGCCGUAUUUCUACGGCAUUCCAGUGCAUGUCAAGCCCUGGUAAGGUUCUUCGCGUUGCGUCGAAUUAAACCACAUGCUCCGCUGCUUGUGCGGACCCCCGUCAAUUCCUUUGAGUUUCAGCCUUGCGGCCGUACUCCCCAGGCGGGGCACUUAAUGCGUUAGCUACGGCACAGGCGGGAUUAAUACCGCCCACACCUAGUGCCCAUCGUUUAGGGCGUGGACUAC
rnacentral:misc_RNA from 1 species